AUCCUGAGAGAGAGAGAAGUGAGGGAUUGCUACAGAUCUGGAGUCAGCCGGCAAAGCUUCAUCCCCCUGUCUUCAGCACUUCUGCCUUUCAUAAACUUAAGAGUUUAUCACUUUGCCCAGUAAUCCAGAGUUGGGACUUCUGGCCCUGCCUCUACAUUCAGACCUGAUCAUUUAUUUCCAGGAUUUGUUUGUAAUGGGAUGGGACUAGAUUAAUGCAAGUAGACACCAGCACCUGUGAAAGGCUCCUGCCAGCUUCCUGCUGUCUCUCCCUAGAUGGGAUGUGGGCUCUAUAUUACAUGAGACUCUGCUGUCAAUGGUGACAGAGAAAGGACGGGAACAGAGCCAGCUCAACGUCUUUGCUGGCCAGGCUUAUGUGUGUGCGUUCACAUGUAUGCAGGUGGCCUGCAUGUGGAAGGAAGCCAGAGGCCAACCAAUGUGUAUUUCUCAGGCUCUGCCUCUUUUGAGCCCCAGUCUCUUUUGCUUCUGUGGUAAUCAUUUUACUGUCUGAGUCAUCUUCCUGGUCCCUAAAAUGACUCUUUUUAUGAUCUUUUGAGACAGAAUCUUGAUGCAUAUUCUGGCCUGGCAUUGAACUUUCAAAUCCCUGGCUAGGUCUCCUGAGUGAUGGGAUUACAGGUUGGGACAUAGCACAGAUGUAUAAAAAGCCAAGCAACACGAGAAGCUAUGUACAUGGUCCAGAUAGGACCACAGCGCAGAGAGAGGAUGGUUUUGCCAAUAAGAAGGUCUGAAGCCAAACGUGAAGUGAUGGAGAUGAGCCCUGGAGACAGCAAGUAGAAGGCAGUCCUGAGGGACCACAUGAAAUGUGCUGGGGAUGGAACACACACUGUAAGUGUUUGGGAUAGCCAGCCAAACACUGUACCACCACCACCAUUCCCGGCCUCUCUCGGAACUUUCUGACGGCCUUAACGUCUUUUUGAAAACGUCUUUUCCCUUAUUUGUUUUCACACGGAUGAGCAUUUUGCCUGCAUGUGCGUGUACUGCAUGUGUCAGAGGAAGGCACCGGAUAUUCUGAACUAGAGUUAUGGAGGGCUGUGCGCCGUCACGUGGGUCCUGGGAACUAAACACGGGUCCCCUGGAAGGAGAGUGAGUUCUAACCACUGAGACGUCUAUUCUCCAGCUCCAGCCUCAGGAGCUGAGAGGGGACAGGAGCGGCCUGGUGCUAGCGAAUGUACAAGCAUAUGCGAGAUCCUGAGAUCCUCGGACCACACAGCCCUGAUGUCAACAGCAAAGGGAAUUUACAUCAUCAAGGCAUUUACAUCAUCAAGAAGGGAGGGAAAGGAAACGGGUGG